AACCCCCUGAAAUCUGUCAAUCAACUUGGCGGUAGAUUCAGAUAUUCAGAGGGUCGUAAAGCAGGCACUAGCCUGUUAAGGAUUAUAGCAAAUGCGUAGCCUUAAACAACUCCUUUCUGCCGCCAUA
rfam:Xenorhabdus cabanillasii JM26, WGS project CBXE01000000 data, contig: XENCA_2134_Contig_439